GCUGAGACAGGGGGAGCAGGAUGGGCAAAGCAUCGGCCACCUCUCUGUAUUGAACUGAAACCAGGAGCUGAACCAGCUCGGGUCAGGCAGUAUCCUAUGCCCCAAGAGGCCAAGAUGGGCAUAACGCCCCACAUUCGAAGGCUUCAAGUGUACAGUUCAGUGGCAUUUAGUACAUUCCCGUUGUUGUACACGGUCGUCACUAUCCAUCCACAGGACUCUGUUCAUCUCCCCAAACUGAAACUCCAUGCCCGGUAAGCACCAACUCCUAUCUCCCCCUCCCCAGCCCCUGGCAGCCCCCACUCCACUUUCUGUCUGUGUGGAUCUGACUACUCUUAAGUACCUAUACAAGUGGAAUCACACAAUAUUUGUCCUUUUGUGACUGGCUUAUCUCGCUUAAUGUAACAUCUUCCAGAUUCAUCCAGGGUGUAGUACGUGUCAGAAUUUCCUUCCUUUUUAAAGCUGACUCAUGCUCCACUGUAUGGACAUAGCACAUUUUAUUUAUCCAUGGAUGGACACUUAGGUUGUUUCCAUCUUUUGGCUACUGUGAAUAACGCUGCUGUGAACCUGGGUGUAACAGCAUGUGUUCAAGUCUCUGUUUUCAGUUCUUUUAGGUAUAUACCCAGGAGCAGAAUUGCUGGGCCGGUCAUAUGAAAUAGAGCAGACGAUGACUUCCUCAGAUGCUGCUCACGUGUCCAGUUGUCUUUCACAUAACAUUGGCCCUGGAGCUCCAAAGGAGACGGCUCAGCAGAAUUGUCUGGACAGAGGUCACUGUUCUCACUGGAGACGCUAUGAUUAAACAGCAACAGCCUGAAGCUGAAAACCCCCUUUAAGAGCUCUGUAUUUCUGCUUAAAGGAGGAUGAUGAUUCUUUGAGACUUUAAGAUGAGAGUGCCACCCUCCCCAGUUGCUGGCAAAUUAAUAAACUUCUCCUUCCUUUUCCUCAAA